GAGUUUGAUCAUGGCUCAGGACGAACGCUGGCGGCGUGCCUAAUACAUGCAAGUAGAACGCUGAAGAGAGGAGCUUGCUCUUCUUGGAUGAGUUGCGAACGGGUGAGUAACGCGUAGGUAACCUGCCUUGUAGCGGGGGAUAACUAUUGGAAACGAUAGCUAAUACCGCAUAACAAUGGAUGACACAUGUCAUUUAUUUGAAAGGGGCAAUUGCUCCACUACAAGAUGGACCUGCGUUGUAUUAGCUAGUAGGUGAGGUAACGGCUCACCUAGGCGACGAUACAUAGCCGACCUGAGAGGGUGAUCGGCCACACUGGGACUGAGACACGGCCCAGACUCCUACGGGAGGCAGCAGUAGGGAAUCUUCGGCAAUGGGGGCAACCCUGACCGAGCAACGCCGCGUGAGUGAAGAAGGUUUUCGGAUCGUAAAGCUCUGUUGUAAGUCAAGAACGAGUGUGAGAGUGGAAAGUUCACACUGUGACGGUAGCUUACCAGAAAGGGACGGCUAACUACGUGCCAGCAGCCGCGGUAAUACGUAGGUCCCGAGCGUUGUCCGGAUUUAUUGGGCGUAAAGCGAGCGCAGGCGGUUUGAUAAGUCUGAAGUUAAAGGCUGUGGCUCAACCAUAGUUCGCUUUGGAAACUGUCAAACUUGAGUGCAGAAGGGGAGAGUGGAAUUCCAUGUGUAGCGGUGAAAUGCGUAGAUAUAUGGAGGAACACCGGUGGCGAAAGCGGCUCUCUGGUCUGUAACUGACGCUGAGGCUCGAAAGCGUGGGGAGCGAACAGGAUUAGAUACCCUGGUAGUCCACGCCGUAAACGAUGAGUGCUAGGUGUUGGAUCCUUUCCGGGAUUCAGUGCCGCAGCUAACGCAUUAAGCACUCCGCCUGGGGAGUACGACCGCAAGGUUGAAACUCAAAGGAAUUGACGGGGGCCCGCACAAGCGGUGGAGCAUGUGGUUUAAUUCGAAGCAACGCGAAGAACCUUACCAGGUCUUGACAUCCCGAUGCUAUUUCUAGAGAUAGAAAGUUACUUCGGUACAUCGGUGACAGGUGGUGCAUGGUUGUCGUCAGCUCGUGUCGUGAGAUGUUGGGUUAAGUCCCGCAACGAGCGCAACCCCUAUUGUUAGUUGCCAUCAUUCAGUUGGGCACUCUAGCGAGACUGCCGGUAAUAAACCGGAGGAAGGUGGGGAUGACGUCAAAUCAUCAUGCCCCUUAUGACCUGGGCUACACACGUGCUACAAUGGUUGGUACAACGAGUUGCGAGUCGGUGACGGCAAGCUAAUCUCUUAAAGCCAAUCUCAGUUCGGAUUGUAGGCUGCAACUCGCCUACAUGAAGUCGGAAUCGCUAGUAAUCGCGGAUCAGCACGCCGCGGUGAAUACGUUCCCGGGCCUUGUACACACCGCCCGUCACACCACGAGAGUUUGUAACACCCGAAGUCGGUGAGGUAACCUUUUGGAGCCAGCCGCCUAAGGUGGGAUAGAUGAU
rnacentral:rRNA from 1 species